AAAGCAGGUUGCAAUUACAGUGCUUCAUCUUGUGGGAGUGCUGUCAUUAAUCCUGCUGAGAGUAAAGGUGUCAAUAUGUUUUAUGAUUUCAUCUUACUGUAGGAUAAAUCAUUAUUUGACAUCAACAAAC